UACGUAGGGUGCGAGCGUUGUCCGGAAUUACUGGGCGUAAAGAGCUCGUAGGUGGUUUGUCGCGUUGUUCGUGAAAACUCACAACUCAAUUGUGGGCGUGCGGGCGAUACGGGCAGACUGGAGUACUGCAGGGGAGACUGGAAUUCCUGGUGUAGCGGUGGAAUGCGCAGAUAUCAGGAAGAACACCAAUGGCGAAAGCAGGCUUCUGGGACGGUACUGACGCUGAGACGACGAAAGCGUGGGGGAGCGAACAGG
rnacentral:rRNA from 1 species